rnacentral:lncRNA from 1 species
CGGAGAUCUAUCCCACCCCUUUCCCGCCAGGGUUGGGACUUCGAAAACAGAAUGAGGCGAGAUGGGGCGAGAGCUGUUACACACACUGGAGAACGCGACUGAGAAGGAUAGAGACAGAGAGAGGAGUUCAUAGCGGCCUCCGGUUCGUCCUGCCCGAACCGUGCUUGCGAGACUUGUAUCUUCUUUUUCUCUCUUUUUUUUUCUAACCCACCAGGUCCUG